rnacentral:rRNA from 1 species
UACGGAGGGUGCAAGCGUUAAUCGGAAUUACUGGGCGUAAAGCGCACGCAGGUGGCUGAGUCAGUCGAGUGUGAAAGCCCCCGGCUCAACUGGGGAGGGUCACUCGAUACUGAUCGACUUGAAGGCAGGAGAGGGAAGCGGAAUUCCCGGUGUAGUGGUGAAAUGCGUAGAUAUCGGGAGGAACACCAGUGGCGAAGGCGGCUUCCUGGCCUGUUCUUGACGCUGAGGCGCGAAAGCUAGGGGAGCAAACGGG